CAAUCCUGGCGGCGAGUGGCGAACGGGUGAGUAAUACAUCGGAACGUGCCCAAUCGUGGGGGAUAACGCAGCGAAAGCUGUGCUAAUACCGCAUACGAUCUACGGAUGAAAGCAGGGGAUCGCAAGACCUUGCGCGAAUGGAGCGGCCGAUGGCAGAUUAGGUAGUUGGUGAGGUAAAGGCUCACCAAGCCUUCGAUCUGCAGCUGGUCUGAGAGGACGACCAGCCACACUGGGACUGAGACACGGCCCAGACUCCUACGGGAGGCAGCAGUGGGGAAUUUUGGACAAUAGGCGAAAGCCUGAUCCAGCCAUGCCGCGUGCAGGAUGAAGGCCUUCGGGUUGUAAACUGCUUUUGUACGGAACGAAACGGCCUUUUCUAAUAAAGAGGGCUAAUGACGGUACCGUAAGAAUAAGCACCGGCUAACUACGUGCCAGCAGCCGCGGUAAUACGUAGGGUGCAAGCGUUAAUCGGAAUUACUGGGCGUAAAGCGUGCGCAGGCGGUUAUGUAAGACAGUUGUGAAAUCCCCGGGCUCAACCUGGGAACUGCAUCUGUGACUGCAUAGCUAGAGUACGGUAGAGGGGGAUGGAAUUCCGCGUGUAGCAGUGAAAUGCGUAGAUAUGCGGAGGAACACCGAUGGCGAAGGCAAUCCCCUGGACCUGU
rnacentral:rRNA from 1 species